rnacentral:rRNA from 1 species
GACGAACGCUGGCGGCGUGCCUAACACAUGCAAGUCGAACGAAGCAACUGUGAUUGAGACUUCGGUGGAUUGAUCAGUUGACUUAGUGGCGGACGGGUGAGUAACGCGUGGGUAACCUGCCUUGUACAGGGGGAUAACAGUUAGAAAUGACUGCUAAUACCGCAUAACCCGCUAAGGUCGCAUGACCUAGACGGAAAAGAUUUAUCGGUACAAGAUGGACCCGCGUCUGAUUAGCUAGUUGGUGAGGUAACGGCCCACCAAGGCGACGAUCAGUAGCCGACCUGAGAGGGUGACCGGCCACAUUGGGACUGAGACACGGCCCAAACUCCUACGGGAGGCAGCAGUGGGGAAUAUUGCACAAUGGGCGAAAGCCUGAUGCAGCGACGCCGCGUGAGCGAAGAAGUAUUUCGGUAUGUAAAGCUCUAUCAGCAGGGAAGAAAAUGACGGUACCUGACUAAGAAGCACCGGCUAAAUACGUGC